rnacentral:rRNA from 1 species
GACGAACGCUGGCGGCGUGCUUAAUACAUGCAAGUCGAACGGAAAGGCCCUGCUUUUGUGGGGUGCUCGAGUGGCGAACGGGUGAGUAACACGUGAGUAACCUGCCCUUGACUUUGGGAUAACUUCAGGAAACUGGGGCUAAUACCGGAUAGGAGCUCCUGCUGCAUGGUGGGGGUUGGAAAGUUUCGGCGGUUGGGGAUGGACUCGCGGCUUAUCAGCUUGUUGGUGGGGUAGUGGCUUACCAAGGCUUUGACGGGUAGCCGGCCUGAGAGGGUGACCGGCCACAUUGGGACUGAGAUGCGGCCCAGACUCCUACGGGAGGCAGCAGUGGGGAAUAUUGCACAAUGGGCGGAAGCCUGAUGCAGCAACGCCGCGUGCGGGAUGACGGCCUUCGGGUUGUAAACCGCUUUCGCCUGUGACGAAGCGUGAGUGACGGUAAUGGGUAAAGAAGCACCGGCUAACUACGUG